UCCUAUAAGUUAGAGAAUAUACAAAUAUUUCAAUACGACCGUCUGACACCGUCAGACCACCCACCCAUGGGUGUGUCGCGGGUCAGAUUACGGGUCGAAGCAUUCGUGGGUUAUAUUUUCGGGUUAUAUAAAUAGUUUUGCCCACCCCAUUUCAAAUCCUUAUUCAUUCCUUCUCUCUUCAAACUCUCUGCCUCCCUCUCUCCUCAAACCCUCUGCGUUUCUCUCCUUGAAAUAGCCGUCCAUUCCUCUCGAUCCUCAAAUUUCAACGGCGAUGGAGAUCGGUGGUGGUGAAGCAUUUCUCUCUCCUUGCAAUCGCCGCCUCUCCUUCUCGAUUCUCAAUUUCGAAGGCGGCGGAGAACGGUGGUGGCGAACCCGAACUCGCCGCCCGCGAGCAAGGAGAGAUCGAAGCAACGAGUUUUGUAGAUCUCAUCGGAGGUGGCGGUGAGACAUUACUUUCGCCGUCGAUGAUGGAGGAAAGAGGUGGAGAAAGAUUAUGCGACGAAGGAUAGAGUGAGAGUCGUGGGGAAGAGAGGCGGCGACUAGGCUCCUCGGCGAUUGCGAUGUUGCCUUCUUGCGGUGGCUACGCUAGUCGGAGUUGGACUUUCGGUGGGAGAAACGUCAACGCGGUGGUGGAGAUCUCGGUCUUGCGGUGGCUGCACUAGUCCCUGCUGGUGGCUGCGACGCGAACGAAGGGAAGCUGGGCUACAGUCGUUGGGGAAGAACAUUGUUGUUGUUAUUUAAAUUAGUUUUCGUUUCAGUUAAAGAAUAUGGUUAUUUUAGCUAUAAUUUAUUCUUUUAGUUAAAGAAUAAUGUUUAUUAGUAAUGAAAUUUUCGUUUUAGUUAAAAGUACUUCAUUUUAGUUAAAAAUAAUCCUAUUUUACUUAUAAA